AGCGAACGCUGGCGGCAGGCCUAACACAUGCAAGUCGAACGCACCUUCGGGUGAGUGGCGGACGGGUGAGUAACACGUGGGAACGUACCUUUAGGUUCGGAAUAACGCAGGGAAACUUGCGCUAAUACCGAAUGUGCCCCUUCGGGGGAAGGAUUUAUCGCCUUUAGAGCGGCCCGCGUUAGAUUAGCUAGUUGGUGGGGUAAGUGGCCCACCAAGGCUACGAUCUAUAGCUGGUCUGAGAGGAUGAUCAGCCACACUGGGACUGAGACACGGCCCAGACUCCUACGGGAGGCAGCAGUGGGGAAUCUUGCGCAAUGGGCGAAAGCCUGACGCAGCCAUGCCGCGUGAAUGAUGAA
rnacentral:rRNA from 1 species